rnacentral:rRNA from 1 species
GAUGAACGCUGGCGGCGUGCCUAAUACAUGCAAGUCGAGCGAAUUGACAGAGGUGCUUGCACCUCUCGAUUUUAGCGGCGGACGGGUGAGUAACACGUGGGUAACCUACCUAUAAGACUGGGAUAACUUCGGGAAACCGGAGCUAAUACCGGAUAAUAUUUAGCUUCGCAUGAAGCAAUAGUGAAAGACGGUUCUGCUGUCACUUACAGAUGGACCUGCGGUGUAUUAGCUAGUUGGGGAGGUAACGGCUCACCAAGGCAACGAUACAUAGCCGACCGGAGAGGGUGAUCGGCCACACUGGGACUGAGACACGGCCCAGACUCCUACGGGAGGCAGCAGUAGGGAAUCUUCCGCAAUGGACGAAAGUCUGACGGAGCAACGCCGCGUGAGUGAAGAAGGUUUUCGGAUCGUAAAACUCUGUUGUAAGGGAAGAACAAGUACGUUUGUAACUGAACGUACCUUGACGGUACCUUACCAGAAAGCCACGGCUAACUACGUGCCAGCCGCCGCCGUAACAC